rnacentral:rRNA from 1 species
GUAGGGAAUCUUCGGCAAUGGACGAAAGUCUGACCGAGCAACGCCGCGUGAGUGAAGAAGGUUUUCGGAUCGUAAAACUCUGUUGGUAGAGAAGAACGUUGGUGAGAGUGGAAAGCUCAUCAAGUGACGGUAACUACCCAGAAAGGGACGGCUAACUACGUACCAG